rnacentral:rRNA from 1 species
GACGAACGCUGGCGGCGUGCUUAACACAUGCAAGUCGAACGGAAAGACCCUGCUUUUGUGGGGUGCUCGAGUGGCGAACGGGUGAGUAACACGUGAGUAACCUGCCCUUGACUUUAGGAUAACUUCAGGAAACUGGGGCUAAUACCGGAUAGGAGCUCCUGCUGCAUGGUGGGGGUUGGAAAGUUUCGGCGGUUGGGGAUGGACUCGCGGCUUAUCAGCUUGUUGGUGGGGUAGUGGCUUACCAAGGCUUUGACGGGUAGCCGGCCUGAGAGGGUGACCGGCCACAUUGGGACUGAGAUGCGGCCCAGACUCCUACGGGAGGCAGCAGUGGGGAAUAUUGCACAAUGGGCGGAAGCCUGAUGCAGCAACGCCGCGUGCGGGAUGACGGCCUUCGGGUUGUAAACCGCUUUCGCCUGUGACGAAGCGUGAGUGACGGUAAUGGGUAAAGAAGCACCGGCUAACUACGUG